rnacentral:rRNA from 1 species
GACGGGAGAGGCAAGCGUUGUUCGGAAUCACUGGGCUUAAAGCGCGUGUAGGCGGUUUCGUAAGUACCUUGUGAAAGCCCUCGUCUCAACCGAGGAACUGCUUGGUAUACUGCGAGACUUGAGGCGAGUAGGGGUGCUUGGAACUCUAGGUGGAGCGGUGAAAUGCGUAGAGAUCUAGGGGAACGCCUGUGGCGAAAGCGGAGCACUGGGCUCGCCCUGACGCUGAGACGCGAAAGCGUGGGGAG